CUUCAUUGCUUUGUAGUUGUGGUGUUGCUCUUCUGUUAGUCACAGGCAUCUUCCAACAAUAUUUCGUUUCUCAAGUCCAGAAAAUACGUUUGCAGGGUUAUUAUAGUUUCAGCCAGAGAAGCAUAUUGUUCGCUUACCAUUUGCCAUUACUGCCUAUGGAAUUGCUGCGAUGUUGCUUGUCGUGGUAUGGAAACCCCAAAUCAGCUUUCUUUCAAUCCCAGCAUU
rnacentral:misc_RNA from 1 species